rnacentral:rRNA from 1 species
CCCUUAGAUGUUCUGGGCCGCACGCGUGCUACACUGAGUGGAUCAGCGGGUCAGGUUGCGCGAAAGUGUGUCCUAAUCUUGAAAUCCGCUCGUGAUGGGGAUUGACGGUUGCAAUUUUCCGUCAUGAACGAGGAAUACCUUGUAAGCGCGGGUCAUCAUCCCGCGCUGAAUACGUCCCUGCCCUUUGUACACACCGCCCGUCGCUCCUACCGAUUGAGUGGUCCGGUGAGGCUUUGGGAUCUGAGCGGAAAGAGCGUUUCGCUGUUUCUGCUCGGAAAACUCAGUCGAACCUUAUCAUUUAGAGGAAGGAGAAGUCGUAACA